UACGUAGGGGGCUAGAGUUGUCCGGAUUUACUGGGUGUAAAGGGUGCUCAGGUGGAUUUGUAAGUCAGACGUGAAAUCCCUCGGCUUAACCGGGGAACUGCGUCUGAUACUGGAUGGCUAGAGGUUGGGAGAGGGAUGCGGAAUUCCAGGUGUAGCGGUGAAAUGCGUAGAUAUCUGGAGGAACACCGGUGGCGAAGGCGGCAUCCUGGACCGACACUGACGCUGAGGAGCGAAAGCCAGGGGAGCAAACGGG
rnacentral:rRNA from 1 species